UACAGGGGUCUCGAGCGUUAAUCGGAAUCACUGGGCUUAAAGGGUGCGUAGGCGGAUCCGUAAGCGCUUUGUGAAAUCCCCCGGCUCAACCGGGGAAUUGCAGGGCGAACUGCGGAUCUUGAGGAAACUAGAGGCCGGUAGAACGAUUGGUGGAGCGGUGGAAUGCGUAGAUAUCAAUCGGAAUGCCAAAAGUGAAGACAGCCGGCUGGGGUUUUCCUGACGCUGAGGCACGAAAGCGUGGGGAGCAAAC
rnacentral:rRNA from 1 species